rnacentral:tRNA from 1 species
GCCGAUGUAGCCCAAUAGGCAGAGGUACCCGUCUCAGAAACGGGGGGUGAGGGUUCGAAUCCCUCCUUCGGCA